rnacentral:lncRNA from 1 species
UUUUUGAUUUGAGGGCUUUGAAACCUAAUUGAUGGGUUUAUAACCUUUAUUUAAGUUGGAUUUGAAGAACUCUAACUCCCAUUUGGAGCUUGAGAGAGGAUUUCUUCACCUAGGUGAGUUUUUCUCCACCUUAGCCUAUGUUGCUUAUUGAUUGAGCUUAGGGUUGAUCGUAAGGUUUGUUUGACCCUUGUUCCUACAUCUUUAGGGUGUUAGGAGACUAGUGGACACCUUCGUCGGAGCUUACGAAGGGUUUCGGUAACUUCGGUGGGUUUGACUUCAUGA